rnacentral:rRNA from 1 species
UUUACAAUGGAGAGUUUGAUCCUGGCUCAGGAUGAACGCUAGCGGCAGGCUUAAUACAUGCA